AGGAUGGCCAGCCACACUGGAACUGAGCACGGUCCAGACUCCUACGGGAGGCAGCAGUGGGAAUAUUGGACAAUGGGCGCAAGCCUGAUCCAGCCAUGCCGCGUGUGUGAAGAAGGCCCUCGGGUUGUAAAGCACUUUAAGCGAGGAGAAGGUCAUCAUACUAAUAUUAUGAUGAAUUGACGUUACUCGCAGAAUAAGCACCGGCUAACUCUGUGCCAGCAGCCGCGGUAAUACAGAGGGUGCAAGCGUUAAUCGGAAUUACUGGGCGUAAAGCGCGCGUAGGCGGUUUGUUAAGUCGGAUGUGAAAUCCCUGGGCUCAACCUAGGCACUGCAUCCGAUACUGGCUGACUAGAGUGUGGGAGAGGAAGGUAGAAUUCCAGGUGUAGCGGUGAAAUGCGUAGAGAUCUGGAGGAAUACCGAUGGCGAAGGCAGCCUUCUGGCCUAACACUGACGCUGAGGUGCGAAAGCAUGG
rnacentral:rRNA from 1 species